rnacentral:rRNA from 1 species
AGAGUUUGAUCCUGGCUCAGAUUGAACGCUGGCGGAAUGCUUUACACAUGCAAGUCGAACGGCAGCACGGGGGCAACCCUGGUGGCGAGUGGCGAACGGGUGAGUAAUACAUCGGAACGUGCCCAGUCGUGGGGGAUAACUACGCGAAAGCGUAGCUAAUACCGCAUACGAUCUACGGAUGAAAGCGGGGGAUCGCAAGACCUCGCGCGAUUGGAGCGGCCGAUGGCAGAUUAGGUAGUUGGUGGGGUAAAGGCUCACCAAGCCUGCGAUCUGUAGCUGGUCUGAGAGGACGACCAGCCACACUGGGACUGAGACACGGCCCAGACUCCUACGGGAGGCAGCAGUGGGGAAUUUUGGACAAUGGGCGCAAGCCUGAUCCAGCCAUUCCGCGUGCAGGAUGAAGGCCCUCGGGUUGUAAACUGCUUUUGUACGGAACGAAAAAGCCCCCUCUAAUACAGGGGGUCCAUGACGGUACCGUAAGAAUAAGCACCGGCUAACUAGGUGCCAGCAGCCGCGGUAAUACGUAGGGUGCAAGCGUUAAUCGGAAUUACUGGGCGUAAAGCGUGCGCAGGCGGUUAUGUAAGACAGUUGUGAAAUCCCCGGGCUCAACCUGGGAACUGCAUCUGUGACUGCAUAGCUAGAGUACGGUAGAGGGGGAUGGAAUUCCGCGUGUAGCAGUGAAAUGCGUAGAUAUGCGGAGGAACACCGAUGGCGAAGGCAAUCCCCUGGACCUGUACUGACGCUCAUGCACGAAAGCGUGGGGAGCAAACAGGAUUAGAUACCCUGGUAGUCCACGCCCUAAACGAUGUCAACUGGUUGUUGGGUCUUCACUGACUCAGUAACGAAGCUAACGCGUGAAGUUGACCGCCUGGGGAGUACGGCCGCAAGGUUGAAACUCAAAUGAAUUGACGG